GUUUAGUGAGUUUACAUGUUAGAGGGAGUGGGGUAUAGUGACACAGUAACAGAGGGAUUGAGGGCCCUGCUCAGUGAGUUUACAUGUUAGAGGGAGUGGGGUAUAGUGACACAGUAACAGAGGGAUUGAGGGCCUGCUCAGUGAGUUUACAUGUUAGAGGGAGUGGGGUAUAGUGACAGUAACAGAGGGAUUGAGGGCCUGCUCAGUGAGUUUACAUGUUAGAGGGAGUGGGGUAUAGUGACACAGUAACAGAGGGAUUGAGGGC